AUGAAAUCUCAGGUAAGAACUUACAGUCAGUGAUUCCUCCUACUUUAAGAUGGCUAUUCAUAGUUAUAUUUACAUCACUUAAAAAUCCAUGCCAAAAUUUCUGGUUACAGUUCAAAUUAAAUACAAGCAUUUACCUCUACAUUCCUAUGAAAAAUGUAAUAGAAUUUUUUUUUUUUUUUUUGAGACAGGGUCUGGCUCUGCAGCCCAGGCUGGAGUGCAGUGGCACAAUCUUGGCUCGCUGCAACCUCCACCUCCCAGACUCAAGUGAUCCUCUCACCUCAGCUUCUUGAGUAGCUGGGAAUACAGGUAUACACCACCAUGCCCAGCUAACUUUUUAUUCUUGGUAGAGAUAGUCUUGCCAUGCUGCCAAGGCUGGUCUUGAACUCCUGAAUUCAAGCUAUCCUACUGCCUCAGCCUCCGAAAGUGAUGGGAUUACAGGCGUGAGCCACUGUACCCGGCCAGAUUUUUUUUUUUUUUUUAAAUGCGUAGAAUAGAGUAGAGAACAAGAGAAAAGACAACAGAAUAUUGGAAGCUGGAAAGCAGAUGCCUGAAUGAAAAUGAUUUAGUAGAGCCAUGGUAGCUCAACCAAAGUUGGCAGUGGGGAAGCCAAGAAGCAUCCCAGCUUGCAUCACAAAUCCCCAACCCCUGAAGUCUCAACGAUUGGUGCUGCUCAUUCAAAAGCAGGAGUUAAGAUGGAGUUGGAAAUGAAGAUUGGCCAAGGAAGCAGAGUUACUUGCAAAGACAUCUGAAUAGGCUUUGGUUCAUACACUCAUUUGCAUAUAACACCUAUUUUUAAAGUUGCUAAAGAGAAUGGUGAGCUUUGUGUUCCCAUGUUUUAAUAAUGCUGCUACUUGAGGGCAGAAGACUGGAGGUUUCCUCUCCUGAGAGAAUGAACCACAGAGGGCAUGGACUGGAGAACGUGAGGCAGAGUAGACAAGGGAGAGUUUAACACUGGCAGGCAAGCUGUGCACUCCAGGCAGGAGGCCACCAGUCCAUGUGACAGCCCAUCAAGAUGGCGACACUGGGAGUCUGCAGUGAGAUGGCAGAGCCAGAUCACCCACAGUGAAGGCCAUCAGUGGAAAAGCCCCUGCCCACUCUCAAAGCAACUUCCCAGUAACUUCUCAGUGCCCCAUCUUAAAUACAGGAACAGCAUAGGAUCACCAGAGAUUUGCAGAAAGCCUCUAACAUCACAGAGGAGACCAAAACAAAACAGGACCUUAGGGAAACCAAGGCAGAAAACCAAGGAGGAAUAUGACAAUGAACAUUAGAAGACUGACAGUAAUAUCCUUGGAGAAAUGACAUUCCACUCUUGAAAGAACAGGGUAGUAUUAAAACACAUAAACAUGAAAAACAAAACAAAAAAAGCUAUUGAAAUUAAAAAUGUGAUAGAAAUGAAAACCUAAAUUUAAAAAGUUGGAAGGUGAAAUUGAGGAAAUCUCUUUAAGAACAAAAAAGAUGAAAGAGAGAAGAGGACAUUUAGCAGAGUUCAAAUUCAGCAUUAGAAGACUUGAAGCUCCUAACAGAACAGAAAACAAAAGCAACUAAAAGCAUUAAUUCAGGAAAGUUUCUCAAACUGAAGCUCAUGAAUUUCUAGAUGUAAGGGGCCCACCCACUGAGUGCCCAGCAAAACGGUAGAAAAAGAAACACCAUACUAAGGUCACAUCAUAAAUUUCAAAACAGGAGCAAAAUUACUAAGUCAGAAGGUAUGAACGCUGGAGGUUCUUAAGGAAUCCUGCCAAUGCCUUCCAGAGGAUCGUGCAGUUUUUAUUCCUGUGGUCAGUAAAGGAGCCGCUUCCCUACUCUGACAACACUGGACGUUUUUGGUCAAUAUUGUUUGGACUCCAUGAAAAUGCCUGCACAUGUGCACCAGAUAUGCUGUAAUGUUCACAGCAACACUAAUUUACAGCCCAAGCAAAACAGGCCAAGUGUCCAAUGGUAGAAAGAAACUGCAAUACAAUUCACAGAACACUAUGCAGCAAGGAAAAAUAAGAUACAGAUACAUGUAACAUACAAUGGAACACUAUGCAGCAAGGAAAAACAAGAGACACGGUCUAGCUCUGCUGCCCAGGCUGGAGUACACUGGUAUGAUCAAGCCUCACCGCACCCUUGAGUUCUUGGCCUCGUCAUCCUCUUGCCUCAGCCUCCCAAAGUGUUAGGAUUAUAGGAGUGAGCCACUAUACCAGGCCGAAUUAAUUUCUGUAAAUGAAUUUAGGAGAUACUCUAUGAAAUGUAAACUAGUUUAAAUAUAAAGAGGUAUUGUUGAAAAUAGAAAU
rnacentral:lncRNA from 10 species